GACGAACGCUGGCGGCGUGCUUAACACAUGCAAGUCGAACGGAAAGGCCUGCUUUCCCUUGUGGAUUGCGGGUACUCGAGUGGCGAACGGGUGAGUAACACGUGAGUGAUCUGCCCCCAACUUGGGUAUAAGCCUGGGAAACUGGGUCUAAUUCCCGAUAGGACUGCAGGGUGGUGCCUGUGGUGGAAAACGAUUUUCUAGUGGUUGGGGAUGAGCUCGCGGCCUAUCAGCUUGUUGGUGGGGUAAUGGCCUACCAAGGCGGCGACGGGUAGCCGGCCUGAGAGGGUGGACGGCCACAUUGGGACUGGGAUACGGCCCAGACUCCUACGGGAGGCAGCAGUGGGGAAUAUUGCACAAUGGGCGGAAGCCUGAUGCAGCGACGCCGCGUGGGGGAUGACGGCCUUCGGGUUGUAAACUCCUUUCGACCGCGAGGAAGCCACCUGGUUGGAAGGGUGGUGACGGUAGUGGUAGAAGAAGCACCGGCUAACUACGU
rnacentral:rRNA from 1 species